rnacentral:rRNA from 1 species
CGAACGGGAAGCUUGAAUUCGUUGCGGUGGAGAGUGGCGCACGGGUGAGUAACACGUAGCUAACCUGCCCUCGAGAGCGGGAUAACGCUUCGAAAGGAGUGCUAAGACCGCAUAAGCUCACAUUGAGUAAGUAGUUGUGAGAAAAGGCUGAGGUGCUUGAGGAUGGGGCUGCGGUCCAUCAGCUAGUUGGUGGGGUAAGAGCCUACCAAGGCGACGACGGAUAGGGGGCCUGAGAGGGUGGUCCCCCACACUGGGACUGAGACACGGCCCAGACUCCUACGGGAGGCAGCGGUGAGGAAUAUUGCACAAUGGGCGCAAGCCUGAUGCAGCGACGCCGCGUGGGUGAAGAAGGUUUUCGGAUCGUAAAGCCCUUUUCUGUGUGACGAGAAAGGACGGUAGCACAGCGAAUAAGUCUCGGCUAACUACGUGCCAACAGCCGCGGUAAAACGUACGAGGCAAGCGUUAUCCGGAGUUACUGGGCGUAAAGAGCGUGUAAGCGGGGAUGCAAGUCCGUUGUGAAAGCUCCCGGCUAAACUGGGAGAGGUCAGUGGAGACUGCAUACCUAUAGAGCA